GAUGAACGCUGGCGGCGUGCCUAAUACAUGCAAGUCGAGCGAAAAGAUGAGGAGCUUGCUCCUCUGACGUUAGCGGCGGACGGGUGAGUAACACGUGGAUAACCUACCUAUAAGACUGGGAUAACUUCGGGAAACCGGAGCUAAUACCGGAUAAUAUAUUGAACCGCAUGGUUCAAUAGUGAAAGACGGUUUUGCUGUCACUUAUAGCUGGAUCCGCGCCGCAUUAGCUAGUUGGUAAGGUAACGGCUUACCAAGGCAACGAUGCGUAGCCGACCUGAGAGAGUGAUCGGCCACACUGGAACUGAGACACGGUCCAGGCUCCUACGGGAGGCAGCAGUAGGGAAUCGUCCGCAAUGGGCGAAAGCCUGACGGAGCAACGCCGCGUGAGUGAUGAAGGUCUUCGGAUCGUAAAACUCUGUUAUUAGUGAAGAACAAAUGUGUAAGUAACUAUGCACGUCUUGACGGUACCUAAUCAGAAAGCCACGGCUAACUACGUG
rnacentral:rRNA from 1 species